rnacentral:rRNA from 1 species
GAUGAACGCUAGCGGCAGGCUUAAUACAUGCAAGUCGUGGGGCAGCAGGUUUGUAGCAAUACAGAUGCUGGCGACCGGCAAACGGGUGCGGAACACGUACAGAACCUUCCUUUGAGCGGGGAAUAGCCCAGAGAAAUUUGGAUUAAUACCCCAUAGUAUAAUGAAGUGGCAUCACUUUAUUAUUAAAGAUUUAUCACUCGAAGAUGGCUGUGCGGCUGAUUAGGUAGUUGGCGGGGUAAAGGUCCACCAAGCCUGCGAUCAGUAACUGGUGUGAGAGCACGACCAGUCACACGGGCACUGAGACACGGGCCCGACUCCUACGGGAGGCAGCAGUAAGGAAUAUUGGUCAAUGGAGGCAACUCUGAACCAGCCAUGCCGCGUGGAGGAUGAAGGUCCUCUGGAUUGUAAACUUCUUUUAUAUUGGGACGAAAAAAAGGCUUUUCUAAGUCGUCUGACGGUACCAUAUGAAUAAGCACCGGCUAAACUCCGUGCCAGCAGCCGC